ACUGGCUACUCUGCUCUACGUACAGUGAUCGAUGCUAUAUCACGAUCACUACGAACAGUGUGGUGAGGCAAGGUUAUCUCGCGCGAUCAACCUCAAUCAAGUUUAUACCGCACGUUCAUCAACCCCGAGUUGGAUAG